rnacentral:rRNA from 1 species
CUUGCUAUGGUAUAACGUUAGUGGCAAACGGGUGAGUAAUGUAUAGGAAUCUACCGUAGUAGUACCGGAACAAAUUGUUGGAAACGGCAACUAAUACCGUAUACGCCCUACGGGGGAAAAGAUUUAGUUGCUAUUAGAUGAGCCUAUAUUAGAUUAGCUAGUUGUGGGGUAAUGGCCGUACCAAGGCAGUGAUCUAUAGCUGAUCUGAGAGGAUGAUCAGCCACACUGGAACUGAGAUACGGUCCAG